AUCUAUAGAAGUGUUUUCCGUGCUGGCCCAUGUACAAGUCCCUGGAACAGGGCGUCAUAGAGGGUGAGAAUCCCGUCCUUGACAUGGACUACCAGUGCUCUGUGAUACACUUUCAACGAGUCGAGUUGUUUGGGAAUGCAGCUCAAAAUGGGUGGUAAAUUCCAUCUAAAGCUAAAUAUUGGCGAGAGACCGAUAGCGAACAAGUACCGUGAGGGAAAGAUGAAAAGCACUUUGGAAAGAGAGUUAAACAGUAUGUGAAAUUGUUGAAAGGGAAACGAUUGAAGUCAGUCGUGCUCAAUGGACUCAGCCGUUCUGCGGUGUAUUUCCAUUGGGUGGGGUCAACAUCAGUUUUGAUCGCUGGAUAAAGGCAGGAGGAAUGUAGCACCCCCGGGUGAACUUAUAGCCUCUUGUCACAUACAGUGGUUGGGACUGAGGAACGCAGCAUGCCUUUAUGGCCGGGAUUCGUCCACGUACAUGCUUAGGAUGUUACAU
rnacentral:rRNA from 1 species